rnacentral:sRNA from 1 species
GCAGCAGGACCAUCAGCAGAACACUGCUGCGUCGCUGCUGCUGCUGCUGUUGCUGCUGCUGCUGAUGAUCCUGCUGC